GGAAUUUUGCGCAAUGGGCGGAAGCCUGACGCAGCAACGCCGCGUGGAGGAAGAAGGCCCUCGGGUCGUAAACUCCUGUCCAUGGGGAAGAUGGUGACGGUACCCUUGGAGGAAGCCCCGGCUCACUCUGUGCCAGCAGCCGCGGUAAUACAGAGGGGGCAAGCGUUGUUCGGAAUUACUGGGCGUAAAGGGCGCGUAGGCGGCCUGUUAAGUCGAACGUGAAAUCCCCGAGCUCAACUCGGGAACUGCGUCCGAUACUGGCAGGCUCGAAUCCGGGAGAGGGAUGUGGAAUUCCAGGUGUAGCGGUGAAAUGCGUAGAUAUCUGGAGGAACACCGGUGGCGAAGGCGGCAUCCUGGACCGGCAUUGACGCUGAGGCGCGAAAGCCAGGGGAGCAAAC
rnacentral:rRNA from 1 species